CUGUAGAUCCAAAGUUCCAACCGAAGCACUAUUUCAUAUUCUCCCACAAUCCAAAAUCUCAGUCUCUCGCUUCCCCGUUCUCAAUUUCGAACCCCUAGAAUUAGCCAGUGAAGAAACUAAAGAAGGUGAUGACUAUCGACGAUCGUCAUCAGGGAGUGUCUCUCAACAAACUCUAAUGGCCUAAUCCCUCCUCAACAAGCCCUAACUAUUCUCUAUUCACUCUGAUUGUCGCGUCUCAACAAGCCCUGUUGGUGUGAUCCUCCGUCAAAAAGCACUGUUCUUAAUCUCUCUCCACUCUUCGCUGAUUUCCCUAAUUUCAUUCAAGCUCUUUUUCAAUUUCUGGACAAUCCAAUACUUGGUGGAAUGAGAGGAAGAAGAUUGCAACUUCUCGUAAUCAGUGCUUAUAUAAUAUGGAAAUUUUUUGAAGCACAUCAAGGGAACUUGGAGGCGAUCCGAUGAUCUUUGGCCGUUCCCUCGUCAAGUUCACAUGGAGCCUCUUCAUGCACACGGCCACGAGGUGAUAGCCCUAGUGAGGGCGACUUUGUGGAAGCUGAUGAGCAGUGGCUAUCACAGCCAAGUGGUGGCCGGAAAAGAAAUUAAGGAUUUUCAGACGAAAUGCUUAUGCGAAAGAGAGUUGCUCCACUUGGUCAAGAUUCUGCUAUCAGUGAUGGAGCCAACUAUUUGAGACGGUUGCUUUCUGAUGCUCAGUAGAUACAAGCUCCUGAAGUUGGAAAAGAAUACAUAGAUAUGUGUGUAUACGUAUUUUUAUAAUUUUAACUUUUUUUUUAAGAUAUAUGACUUGCAAAUGUUUCGCAAUCUAUUAGUAUUUUUGUAUUCGGAAGCAAAGUUGGUUGAAGCUGUUUAUGAACUUAAAUCAAGCAAUGCUAAUGCAAAGUUCAUGUCAAUGUAAUUUACAGUCUUGUUCUCAUGUGAUAUAUUGUUGUAUUUGUUAGUGUUUUAUCACAAACCCAGCACUACGUCAUAAGUGGCUAUUGUUGGUUUUAGUUCAUGAA